rnacentral:rRNA from 1 species
UACGUAGGGUGCAAGCGUUUGUCCGGAAUUAUUGGGCGUAAAGAGCUUGUAGGCGGUUUGUCGCGUCUGCUGUGAAAUUUCGGGGCUCAACCCCGAACUUGCAGUGGGUACGGGCAGACUAGAGUGUGGUAGGGGAGACUGGAAUUCCUGGUGUAGCGGUGAAAUGCGCAGAUAUCAGGAGGAACACCGAUGGCGAAGGCAGGUCUCUGGGCCACUACUGACGCUGAGAAGCGAAAGCAUGGGGGAGCGAACAGG